AUAGCAACAGCAGCGUAGCUGAACAUCUUACGGAUGGCCCAGGGCUCCAAAGGCUCGUUUCCUAAGUGAGAGAGAGCCUGGCUGAAGCUGUAUUACCAUUCAUUCUCCAGCCUCCGAAGUCUCAAAGCAUCACUUCCACCAUACUCUAACUGUCAAGACAAACACAAAGGCCCAGAAACUGCCAGACUGUCUUCUGAAGUGGCUAUAAUAUUUACACUCCCAUCAGCAGUGUAGAAGGGGUCUCACUAUGUUGUCUGGAGUGCUGUGGUGGAGUGGAGUGGCUAUUCACAGAGCCUGUUCUGCUGGGACACAGAAUCACUUGCUCCAUCUCAUACAUUGAUGAUGAUUAAUUUGUAUGUGUACCUUCCAAAAAAGAUGGUUGUGUUUGAAUGGAGGCCUUCUGGACAGGAAAAUAUGGAGAGUGCGUGCUUUGGAUUCAAGACUGGGAAUGAGGGGACCAGAAACCUAUUCUGUGGCUGUUUCUUGUUAGGACUUUCCUAAGCCUCUGGAAAAGUGCAAAGUACAAUUAACAUUUGAGUCUGUCUGAGUCAUGAAGAAAUGGAGAUUACUGAAAAUAAUUCAUUUUGGUAUCUUCUUACAUCCUGAGAGACUAAUCUUUCCAAGUUCAUCUGAGGCUCCUCUUCUCCAUGACAACCUCAUCCAGGGAUUUCUUCCUGUCCUGGUGUUUUAUGACAUAAUCACAUCCUUCCUGAGAUAAUGAGCACACAAUUGCCUGGAUACCUGAAGGAAUGGAGACAGCGGCAGAAAACACUGCAGAGAGGUGGAAACAUCCGUUAAUAUUUUAAAAUCCCAUUACUGCUACCAACAAUAAUAAUGGAUGCAUAGAAAUAGAUCUGGAUUAGCUGAGCUUGAAACAGUCCAUCUCACACACACACAAAAGAAUUUCAGAUACAGUGAACCCACAUGUUGAAGCUUUCUAGUAUAAUAAAAAUUUCAACUGUUCUGUUGAAUCAUCUGCCUGAUUGGAGGCUACAGAAAAGAUGUCAUCUUAGGAGUGCUUGCUCUGAGUGAGGCUCAUCUUCAAAUCUGAAUGACCACAAGGAGAUUUGAUUAUACAUGUGAACACCUCAGAAGGCACAGCCCACCCAGAAGGCAGACAGAAGAAGCUGCCAGGAAGACUGUGAAAUCUUCAUGCCCAAGGAUCCCUAAAAUUAGGAGCAACAACCACUUGGCUCAGACGGUUUAUGGAGGCAAAGGUUUGGAUGGGAUUAGAGAUUUCUAAAUGAGGAGACAGACACUAGAGCUCACCGGCUCGCCCUCUCACUCCUACUCAUCUGAGAAGGCAGCCAGCUAACCCUUCAGCCAGGAAGAGGGUCCUCAUCAGAACCUGGCCGUGGUGGCAUCCAGAUCUUGAACCUCCGGACUCCAGACUGUGAGAAAAUAAGUGUGUUGUUUAAACUA
rnacentral:lncRNA from 1 species